AAUUACUUGUUAAUUAAAAUAAUAUUAAUUAGGGUGUUAAAUUUGAGUAAAAGAUAAGAAAAAAUAUUUGAAUUUAUAGAUUAUUAGUAAAGUAAUUGAAUUUUUAAAAUUUAUAAAAAAUUUAAUAUUAUGAGAAGUAAAUUUAAUUAAUUGUAUCUUGGGUAUCAGAGUUUAAUAAUUUAAAUUAAAAAUUAUUUAUAUUUCUCGAAAAAAUUUAAGAGAUAAAAAUUAAAUAUUUGUUAAUGUGAAAAAAUUAUAAAUAAUUAAUUUUUAGAAAUGAAAAGUUAUUCGUUUAUUUAUAUAUCUAGUUUUAAAAGAAAUAAAUUGAAUUUAGUUUAUUAAUUCUUUAUAAUUAUUAAAUUAAUUAAUAAUUUUUAUUUUGAUGUAAUAUUUUUAUAUAUGGGGGGUUAAGCUUUUGUAUAGAUUUUUAUAUUAAUUUGAAUUAAUAAAAUAAAAUUAUAGAAUUAAAAUUUUUUUUUAUUUAAAUAUAUUAAUUUAUUAUUUAUUUAUAUAUUUUAAUAUUUAAUUUAAAAUUAAUUAUUUAUUUUAAGGUUUAUAUAAAUUAUUUAUUAUUAAGUAAUAAUGUUUAAAUUAGUAUAAUUAAUAUAAAAUUUAAUUUUAAAAUUAAAAAUUUAAAUUAAUUAAUUAGGCAAAAUUUAAAUUAUUUAAUAAAAAUUUGGUUAUUUCACAUGUUUAACAAAAACAUGUCUUUUAGUUGAUAAAUUUAAAGUCAAAUCUGCCCACUGAAAUAUUUUUUAAAGGGCUGCAGAAUUUAAACUGUACAAAGGUAGCAUAAUAAAUUGUUUUUUAAUUGAAAACUAGAAUGAAUGAUUUCAUGAAAAUAAAACUUUAUUUAUAUAAAAAUUAAAAUUUAUUUUUUUUGUUAAAAAACAAAAAUAUUUUAAAAAGACGAGAAGACCCUUUAGAUUUUUAUUUUACUUAAUUUAUAAUUGAUUUAAUUAUAUAAAUGUAUUUAAUUAUUUAAAUUAUAUAAAAUUUGAUUGGGGUGAUUAAUAAAUUUAAAAACUUUAAUUUUUUAAUAUAAAAAAUUUAAUUUAAAAGAAAAAAAUUUUAUUUAAUAAUAAAAGUAUAUAUGGAAAUAAUUUUAUGGAUUAAAAGAUUAAAUUACCUAAGGGAUAACAGCGUAAUUUAAAUUUUUAGUUCGUAUAGAAAUUUGAGAUUGCGACCUCGAUGUUGGAUUAAGAUUAAUUUAAAAUGUAGAAGUUUUAAAAUUUAGUCUGUUCGACUAUUAAAAUCUUACAUGAUCUGAGUUCAAACCGGUGUGAGCCAGGUUGGUUUCUAUCUUUUAUUGUAAAUAAACCUUUUAGUACGAAAGGAUUGAAGGUUUAAAAUAAAAAAUUUUAAUUAAUAAUGAGUUU
rnacentral:rRNA from 1 species